UACGGAGGAUCCGAGCGUUAUCCGGAUUUAUUGGGUUUAAAGGGUGCGUAGGCGGCUAUUUAAGUCAGGGGUGAAAUACGGCAGCUCAACUGUCGCAGUGCCUUUGAUACUGACUAGCUUGAAUGUGGUUGAAGAUGGCGGAAUGAGACAAGUAGCGGUGAAAUGCAUAGAUAUGUCUCAGAACUCCGAUUGCGAAGGCAGCUGUCUAAGCCAUUAUUGACGCUGAUGCACGAAAGCGUGGGGAUCGAACAGG
rnacentral:rRNA from 1 species